rnacentral:rRNA from 1 species
AGAGUUUGAUCAUGGCUCAGGAUGAACGCUGGCGGCGUGCCUAACACAUGCAAGUCGAGCGAUUCACUUCGGUGAAGAGCGGCGGACGGGUGAGUAACGCGUGGGUAACCUGCCUCAUACACAUGGAUAACAUACCGAAAGGUAUGCUAAUACAAGAUGAUAUAAGAGAUUCGCAUGGAUUUCUUAUCAAAGCUUUUGCGGUAUGAGAUGGACCCGCGUCUGAUUAGCUAGUUGGUAAGGUAACGGCUUACCAAGGCGACGAUCAGUAGCCGACCUGAGAGGGUGAUCGGCCACAUUGGAACUGAGACACGGUCCAAACUCCUACGGGAGGCAGCAGUGGGGAAUAUUGCACAAUGGGCGAAAGCCUGAUGCAGCAACGCCGCGUGAGCGAUGAAGGCCUUCGGGUCGUAAAGCUCUGUCCUCAAGGAAGAUAAUGACAGUACUUGAGGAGGAAGCCCUGGCUAACUACGUGCCAGCAGCCGCGGUAAUACGUAGGGGGCUAGCGUUAUCCGGAUUUACUGGGCGUAAAGGGUGCGUAGGUGGUUUCUUAAGUCAGGAGUGAAAGGCUACGGCUCAACCGUAGUAAGCUCUUGAAACUGGGAAACUUGAGUGCAGGAGAGGAAAGUGGAAUUCCUAGUGUAGCGGUGAAAUGCGUAGAUAUUAGGAGGAACACCAGUAGCGAAGGCGGCUUUCUGGACUGUAACUGACACUGAGGCACGAAAGCGUGGGGAGCAAACAGGAUUAGAUACCCUGGUAGUCCACGCCGUAAACGAUGAGUACUAGGUGUCGGGGGUUACCCCCCUCGGUGCCGCAGCUAACGCAUUAAGUACUCCGCCUGGGGA